GAUGCCCAUUAUAAGGCC
rnacentral:snRNA from 1 species